UACGAAGGGGGCUAGCGUUGCUCGGAAUCACUGGGCGUAAAGGGUGCGUAGGCGGGUCUUUUAAGUCAGGGGUGAAAUCCUGGAGCUCAACUCCAGAACUGCCUUUGAUACUGAGAAUCUUGAGUGACGGAGAGGUGAGUGGAACUGCGAGUGUAGAGGUGAAAUUCGUAGAUAUCGUCAAGAACACCUAUAGCGAAGGCAGCUUACUAGGCUGUAACUGACGCUGAGGCACGAAAGUGUGGGGAUCAAACAGG
rnacentral:rRNA from 1 species